rnacentral:rRNA from 1 species
UACAGAGGGUGCAAGCGUUAAUCGGAUUUACUGGGCGUAAAGGGUGCGUAGGUGGUUGUAUAAGUCGGAUGUGAAAGCCCGGGGCUCAACCUCGGAACGGCAUUCGAUACUGUAUGACUAGAAUUCGGUAGAGGGCGGCGGAAUUUCCGGUGUAGCGGUGAAAUGCGUAGAUAUCGGAAGGAACAUCAAUGGCGAAGGCAGCCGCCUGGGCCUGAAUUGACACUGAGGCACGAAAGCGUGGGUAGCAAACAGG